AUUGAACGCUGGCGGCAUGCCUUACACAUGCAAGUCGAACGGUAACAGGUCUUCGGAUGCUGACGAGUGGCGAACGGGUGAGUAAUACAUCGGAACGUGCCUAGUAGUGGGGGAUAACUACUCGAAAAAGUGGCUAAUACCGCAUGAGAUCUACGGAUGAAAGCAGGGGAUCGCAAGACCUUGUGCUACUAGAGCGGCCGAUGGCAGAUUAGGUAGUUGGUGGGAUAAAAGCUUACCAAGCCGACGACCUGUAGCUGGUCUGAGAGGACGCUCAGCCACACUGGGACGGGGACACGGCCCAGACUCCUACGGGAGGCAGCAGUGGGGAAUGUUGGACAAUGGGCGAAAGCCUGAUCCAGCAAUGCCGCGUGCAGGAUGAAGGCCUUCGGGUUGUAAACUGCUUUUGUACGGAACGAAAAGCCCCGGGUUAAUACCCUGGGGUCAUGACGGUACCGUAAGAAUAAGCACCGGCUAACUACGUGCCAGCCGCCGCCGUAA
rnacentral:rRNA from 1 species